ACUCUCAGCUGCUCUGUGGACACCCAUGUUAAUGUGACAGAGCUUCAGGUGGAAUGGAGACAGACAGACGGUGACAUCAUGGUGCUUCUGUUCACUGAUGGAGAGAACAAACCAGAUUCUCAGCAUGACAGAUACUCUGGAAGAGCUGAAUUCCUCGCUGAGGAAAUUCCGAAAGGAAACUUCUCAAUGAAACUGAGGAAAGUCAGGUUGGAAGACAAAGGAGAGUUCAUGUGUGAAGUCCACUCAGAUACUGAUUCUAAUAGUACAACAGCCAGGAUAGCAGCACUGGGUUAUUCAUCUCUGCAUUGGCUGAUGAUUCUGAUGCUGUGCAUCACUGUCACACCUGUAGUUCUACUUACUGGUGCUUUAUCUGUCUGGCAUUAUAUAAAGGAAGGUAAAGGCAGACAGGCUCUGUUGAGUCACUGGUCACUUGUCACAGUUCCACCAGUCAUGGUUUCAUCAGCAUUCAUCCUGUGGGGUGUAACUGAAGG